CGAAAGGGAUUGGAUUCAACAUCAAUCCGGUAUUCAGGGCACCUGACCCCACCAGAUGUUGCUGGUCGCCCGCGGUGGUUAAUUCUGCUUGCGGUGUCGUGCCCGGGGAUCACUCGGCAGGGUGGUGUCUCUGCCGCCGGGGGUGCGCACUUCCUCCCUAGUAGAAACGUCGCGACCCGUUGGGUGCCGGUCGAAGGCCUGGGAUGGCAGCCCGUGUGUCCUGUGGGGGUUCCCACAGGCGCGUGGACUCCUGGUGACCCAGCCGGCUGCCCGACGGUAGGACCAGAGGAGUCGAUCCGCUGAAAGUGAAACACUUUGGUUGUGUAGCGUCCAGCCCGGUGCCACUGUGCGUGGGGAUUGAGGUGCAAACCGGGGGUGUCCGUGCGAAGCAUGGCCCCGGCCCCACUGCGCUGUUGGUUGCUGGUGUCCUUGGACUGGAUCGAGACUCCCGUCUGCGACGCCCAUUUUCGGAUGGUCUCCCGACCC
rnacentral:rRNA from 1 species